rnacentral:tRNA from 1 species
GAGGGUUUAGCUCAGUGGUAGAGCACAUGCUUAGCAUGCAUGAGGUCCUGGGUUCAAUCCCUAGUACCUCCA